rnacentral:rRNA from 1 species
CAGCCAGACUCCUACGGGAGGCAGCAGUGAGGAAUAUUGGUCAAUGGCCGGAAGGCUGAACCAGCCAAGCCGCGUGAGGGAGGAAGGCGCAGAGCGUCGCAGACCUCUUUUGCCGGGGGACAAAAGGCCGGACUCGUCCGGUCCUGAGGGUACCCGGAGAAAAAGCAUCGGCUAACUCCGUGCCAGCAGCCGCGGUAAUACGGAGGAUGCGAGCGUUAUCCGGAUUUACUGGGUGUAAAGGGGGCGCAGACGGCAGCGCAAGCCAGGAGUGAAAGCCCGGGGCCCAACCCCGGGACUGCUCUUGGAACUGCGCGGCUGGAGUGCAGGAGGGGCAGGCGGAAUUCCUGGUGUAGCGGUGAAAUGCGUAGAUAUUAGGAGGAACACCAGUGGCGAAGGCGGCCUGCUGGACGACAACUGACGGUGAGGCGCGAAAGCGUGGGGAGCAAACAGGAUUAGAUACCCUGGUAAAC